CCUACGGGUGGCAGCAGUGGGGGCUAUUGCACACUGGGGGAAACCCUGAUGCAGCGACGCCGCGUGUAGGAAGAAGGUCCUCUGGAUUGUAAACUACUGUCCCCAGGGACGAAGAUGACGGUACCUGGGGAGGAAGCUCCGGCUAACUACGUGCCAGCAGCCGCGGUAAUACGUAGGGAGCGAGCGUUGUCCGGAAUUACUGGGUGUAAAGGGUGCGUAGGCGGGGAUGCAAGUUGGGUGUUAAAUCUACCGGCUCAACUGGUAGUCGCAUUCAAAACUGCAGCACUUGAGUGAAGUAGAGGCAGGCGGAAUUCCUAGUGUAGCGGUGAAAUGCGUAGAUAUUAGGAGGAACACCAGUGGCGAAGGCGGCCUGCUGGGCUUUUACUGACGCUGAGGCUCGAAAGUGUGGGGAGCAAACAGGAUUAGAUACCCUGGUAGUC
rnacentral:rRNA from 1 species